ensembl:lncRNA
CGUUUAAGGUUUUACCUUAAAUUUAAUUUAAAUUUAAAUACCGUAAUUUCAUUAACUGAUAUAAUGUUAAUAUACUGUACCAACUUAUUUAAGUACUGUAAAAAAUAAUCCCAAAAAUAUACGGUAAAAAACUGGCAGCUGUGGUUGCCAGAAUUUUACCGUAAAAAUUACAGUAACACCGUUUUAGGUUUAAUGGUUUUAUACCGUAAAAAAUACGGUAACACCAUUUUAGGUUUAACGGUUUUACCUUAAAUGUACAUUUUAAUACCGUAAUUUAACUGAUAUAAUAUUAAUAAACCAAUUUAUUGAAGUACUGUACUGAAAUCUGUUUUGUACCUUUGUAAUACACUGGUAACCACCAAAACCAGGUAGUGAUGAGAAAGUCACGUGACGAAACAAAGCCCAUCACAAGCAGCUUUUAAAUAAUAAGAGACAUAGACUGUGUCCAAAUUCAGGGUCUACUGUGUUACGUCACAGCGCCGCGACGAAGGCUGUCCAAAUUCAUAGGAUCCUUCAAAUGCGGCCCACAAAUACGUCCUCCUUUUCCCUGAAUUGGAAGGAUGGGUGUGGUGGAUCCUUUCCCGUCCUACCUAUCCCAUAAUUCUUUUCGGCAGAGCGUAAUGGCGGACGAAGCGAGCGGUAGUGGAGUGGGAGAGUAGUAUGCUUUUCGAUGGACGAAAGAGCAGACAGAAGUGUUUAUAAAGCUCCGGGGAGAGAACGAUGAGCUCUUCACCGGAGCAAAGAACUCUGCCACUGUGGGAUGGAGGAUAGUUUUGGAGAAGAUGGGCCUGUCUGGUAAAGUGACACCAGCCCAAGCAAAGAAAAAGUGGGACAAUUUAAAAAAGAAAUAUAAAGAAUGCAAGUAUCCAGGGUCAGGAGAGGGAGUGAGUGGGAAGCCCACUGCUGCUACUUGGCCCUGGUUUGUCCAAAUGGAUGAGGUUUUAGGACAAAGGCCUUCAAUUUGCCCCCCUGUCCUUAUUGCCUCCAUCCCUAUGGACACUCCAGGGCCAAGUGCAGCAGUGAGUGACCAAGAGGAGAGAGAGGAAGAAGAGAGGGAAGGAGAUAGGCAGCCAGCAGCGAAGAAGAGGAGAAGGGACAGUGACCAGGAGCUGUUAGACCUCAUCAGGGAGGACAUGAGGCAGCAGAGAGAGGCUGAAGAGAGGAGAGCACAGGCUGAAGAGAGGAGGGCACAGGAGAGCAGGGAGAGGAUGGACAGGCUCUUCUCCAUUCUGGAGCGUUGGGUCCCCAAAUAAUUUUUUUUUUUUUCUUGGGGUGGGAGGGUUUACAUUUCUUCCAUUGUUAGCUUAAGUUGUUUGAAAUAAAUUGUUUGAAAGAAAUUCUUCUCA